rnacentral:rRNA from 1 species
UACGUAGGUGGCAAGCGUUGUCCGGAUUUAUUGGGUUUAAAGGGUGCGUAGGCGGUUCGGUAAGUCUGCCGUGAAAACCCAGGGCUCAACCCUGGGCGUGCGGUGGAUACUGCCGGGCUAGAGGGUGGUAGAGGCGAGUGGAAUUCCCGGUGUAGCGGUGAAAUGCGCAGAUAUCGGGAGGAACACCAGUAGCGAAGGCGGCUCGCUGGGCCACACCUGACGCUGAGACGCGAAAGCGUGGGGAGCGAACAGG